GGUCAGUGAUGAGAAGUAAAAGGUCUGACUGCACCGAGAAGUCACAUUCCUUCUUGUGGCCUUCAUAGCUCCCAGCAGCCCAUCAUUUCUUACCCAGGCAUGAUUAAGGCAUGCUGUUCUUGGGAUGGUGGAGCCGCUGACAGUUGGGGACAUGUUCAGUGUGUGCUCCUGAGAGAAGGGAAGGACAUGCUGGGCUGCUGUCCAACACAACCUUUCCAGAGGAGCUUGGAGUGGAGAGCCACAGGAAUGUGAUGGUACAUGAUCUUAAGUUUUCAAGCUGAGACC
ensembl:snoRNA